rnacentral:lncRNA from 10 species
CUCUGGUAGUGAAAAGAAGUCAUAGUCUCUGCAGAGGACUCUAAAUAAAGGGACAAUGCGAGAGGAGCUGGCAAGUGCUUGGGCAGUACUUAGAAGGAAGACGCAUUCAUUAUCAUACUGAGGAUUCACUGAGACAUCUUCAGAAAGUAAGUAAUGUGUUUCAACACCACUGAAGUGUUAAAAUAGGCUCCUUUUCUUCUCACCAGUAUGAAAAGUUAGACAGGAGUCACUCUCAGGAAUAGUAAAGGACACUCACUGGGGACAGUUAUGAUGCAUGAAGAAGGGAUACAUAUUUUUAAGGCAGCAGGAAUAAAUUUCAUUGUCCUUCCCAGACCACAGCAAGAAUUAUUCAAGGUGGCCACCAACUCUGGAAACCAGGCAAAUCUUUUAACAAAUGGUUUAUUGAUAUUAUGUUAUAAUGAAUGACAAAAUAUUUGUAUCUAAUUCUAGACUUUAUGGCCACCCUGUAGGAUGAAUCUUUGGAAUGGAAAAAAAAUAAUAAAGAUUUUGUUUUCCCAUAAUCGUAAAGCUGUUAUACUCAGUCCAGGCACAGCUAGCACAACAUUCUACUUAACCCCACAGGCUCCGUUCCCUUUACCACCUAUCUAUAAUAUAUUUGAGUCACUGAUAGGAGUGAAACACUGUCAGCAUCAAUAGUUAGCAGCACUUUCAAAAUACAUUUUAUUGUCCUGAAUAGAAACCUUAACUAUUCAACUAGUCCAGUAAUUCCAAAUGAUCUUAUCACUUCUACACAUAAGAUGUGAUCUUACAACAUUUAUGUAGCUAAAUACUUAUACCUCCCAUGUUUUUUGAGGAUUCCCAAAAUACUUUAGGGAGUUCCCAAACGAUUUUUAGGGGUUUAAUUUUUUUCACAAUAAAAGAAAGGAACAGUGUCAAUCCAUGAGUGUCAGACCAGCAGUUUAGUAAGAUCCUCUUCAGAAAGAAGAUCCUCUUCAUAGCUCAGUUCCCAGUGCAUACAGAGAUUCAAUACAGUCCCCUCACUCAGUUCUUAGAAGAAUUUCAGAGGGAUAAAAGCGAUAACUACCUGUUUUGUUUAAUGGCCUAAGAGUGAAAAUAGAUGUCAAAAAAAAAUGCAGUCUAAAAAGAAAUAGAAGCCAAAUUCUUUCAUCCCAGAUGUCUGAAAGGGAGGGACUCUAUGGAGCAUGGAUGCAGAAAAGGAGUUAUUCCUACUGGAAAAAAAAAUGAACUGUGGACACAGUCACUCAAGAGCAGAGAAACAACCACUGAGAGUAAGUAGCCUUAAUUUCAUUGUCACCAGGGAGGCACACAGCAGAAAGCCUGGGACAAAUCUGGGCUAGAGCCCUUAACGGACUCAGGCUUCCAGGUGCUGUGGUACAACAGCCUUUGUGGGGAUGGGGGGAACCAGAAACCACCAUCAUCACGUGUAAAAAAAGGAUACCACAGCAACAACAUAGUUGUCAAAAAUCAGCUGGAACUGAGGUUACGCCCCGUUUGAAAUCCACACUGUACUUGUUCUCCUGUGAAGGGCUUGAGACGUGCAGAGACACGUUAAACAUGUGUAGGUGACCUUCUUUUGAAAGGCAGAGGAGGGCCUCUUCGGGAACUCUUUCUACUCAUCUGUUUUCCUAUCAGUUCACCAUUUCAACUAGAAAAGAGGCUGCAAGUGCUACCUCAGCUAGCUUCUAAUUUGGACACAGCACCAAUACUACACACACAAUUGACUGAAUGACCACAUCUUCCUGGUUCUUCCAUUGGGCAGGGUUAAUAUGCUUCUUUGGACUGAAUAGAUGUGAUCAUGUUCGAG